UGGGGAAUAUUGGACAAUGGGCGCAAGCCUGAUCCAGCCAUGCCGCGUGAGUGAUGAAGGCCCUAGGGUUGUAAAGCUCUUUCACCGGUGAAGAUAAGGACGGUAACCGGAGAAGAAGCCCCGGCUAACUUCGUGCCAGCAGCCGCGGUAAUACGAAGGGGGCUAGCGUUGUUCGGAUUUACUGGGCGUAAAGCGCACGUAGGCGGGCUUUUAAGUCAGGGGUGAAAUCCCGGGGCUCAACCCCGGAACUGCCUUUGAUACUGGAAGUCUUGAGUAUGGUAGAGGUGAGUGGAAUUCCGAAUGUAGAGGUGAAAUUCGUAGAUAUUCGGAGGAACACCAGUGGCGAAGGCGGCUCACUGGACCAUUACUGACACUGAGGUGCGAAAGCGUGGGGAGCAAACAGG
rnacentral:rRNA from 1 species